rnacentral:rRNA from 1 species
CCAGACUCCUACGGGAGGCAGCAGUGGGGGAUAUUGCACAAUGGAGGGAACUCUGAUGCAGCGACGCCGCGUGAGGGAAGAAGGUUUUCGGAUUGUAAACCUCUGUCUUCGGUGACGAAACGAGACGGUAGCCGAGGAGGAAGCCACGGCUAACUACGUGCCAGCAGCCGCGGUAAAACGUAGGGUGCAAGCGUUGUCCGGAAUUACUGGGUGUAAAGGGAGCGCAGGCGGACUGUCAAGUUGGGAGUGAAAACUACGGGCUCAACCCGUAACUUGCUUUCAAAACUGGCGGUCUUGAGUGGUGUAGAGGUAGGCGGAAUUCCCGGUGUAGCGGUGGAAUGCGUAGAUAUCGGGAGGAACACCAGUGGCGAAGGCGGCCUACUGGGCACUAACUGACGCUGAGGCUCGAAAGCAUGGGUAGCAAACAGGAUUAGAUACCCGCGUAAG